rnacentral:pre_miRNA from 1 species
UUAGCUCAUAUUUGUAUGGCGUUGGAGCGGUUGCCUACUUUUGCCGCUAGGGGCGCUGUCCCAACUGCAUACAAAUGUUAGUUA